CCUACGGGUGGCAGCAGUGAGGAAUAUUGGUCAAUGGACGAGAGUCUGAACCAGCCAAGUAGCGUGAAGGAUGACUGCCCUAUGGGUUGUAAACUUCUUUUAUAUGGGAAUAAAAUGUUCCACGUGUGGGAUUUUGUAUGUCCCAUAUGAAUAAGGAUCGGCUAACUCCGUGCCAGCAGCCGCGGUAAUACGGAGGAUCCGAGCGUUAUCCGGAUUUAUUGGGUUUAAAGGGAGAGUAGGUGGAUUGUUAAGUCAGUUGUGAAAGUUUGCGGCUCAACCGUGAAAUUGCAGUUGAAACUGGCAGUCUUGAGUACAGUAGAGGUGGGCGGAAUUCGUGGUGUAGCGGUGAAAUGCUUAGAUAUCACGAAGAACUCCGAUGGCGAAGGCAGUUCACUGGACUGCAACUGACACUGAGGCUCGAAAGUGUGGGUAUCAAACAGGAUUAGAUACCCCGGUAGUC
rnacentral:rRNA from 1 species